ensembl:snRNA
AUGUUGUAUGAAAGGAGAGGUUAGCACUCCAUUUGACAAGGAUGGAAGAGGCCCUUUUACCUAGCAACACUCAUAUAGUUAAGGCAUUGCCACCUACUUUGUGGCAUCUAACCACUGUUUUUA